ensembl:lncRNA
GACCUUGCUCCAGUCUCCUUGCAGACUGGAGUUAGGGCAGCUGUGCCUGUCCCCUGUGGCCAGGCUGCGACUGUGAUGCAAGCUCCUUGACAGCAAGAAGCUCCCGAAGCUAUUCUGGUGGUCACUACAUCGGCUCCAGGACCCCAGGGGGGACAGCGCUCUCCUUGAUGAGAAGGGGUUUCCCGUAGAAGGUGAGUGGUUUGUCCAGUGUUGGAGAAAUGGGUGGAACCUCGCCUGGCUCCACUCUGUACCCUACGCUGCACCCCACGCUGCACCCCAGAUGGAAGAUGGAGGCAGAGCACCAGGUUCUGCCCACCUGACUGGACGCUUCCAUUCUAAAUGACUUCCCAUUCUCAGGGAGAGCUGUCGUGGUGAGAAAGUCUCUUGGAUUCUCCAGUGACGAAGCUGUGAUCGCAGACCAGAGACAGGGAAAACUUGACAUUUGGAGAACAGCCGGGGCAGGAGCUAUCCCCUGAGCUCCACGUGUAAGAGAAAAGACUGGACCCGGAUUCCAGGGAUUUGGAGUUGGCGAUCACCUCGAAGUGGCAGUGCUGGGAGCUGGGGAAGCCUGAGAAAGUCAUGCUUUACAGUGGCCACCCGUACAAUUUGUCAGCCACCAUUCUGAGGUACACUGGACUCCGGUUAUGACGGUGAUGAAAUGUGCAUAACAGAAUGUGCAUCCUCCACCCACCCACCUUUGGCAGCUGUCACUCCUUUCUGUCGCGAGUUUGACUGUUCCCAGACCUCACGUAUGAAAAGAAACAUGCUAUACAGAGCAAGCUGGGACCAAGAAAAAGCAGAAAAGGAAGUACCCUCUGCAGUUUAAGCAUGGACUUUUGUGAAGAACACAGUUGCAAAGAGCCCAGUGGAGACCUGCCCACACUGCAGGCUGCCGUCAGGUCAAGGCUGUCCUGUAAGUCCACGUGCAAAGCCUGAGAGUGUACCGCGAGGGUCCUGGGAGUUUGUAAGUAACAGGUCCGUAUUUCCCCAGCCAGCUUUGCCACACCCUAGUCUCCUACCUCAGUUUCUCGCUGUGGUUUUGAUUUGCAUUUCCCCAGUGAUUAGUGACGUUGAACGGCUUUGCUACGUUCACUAGCCAAUUGUG